UACAUCAGCAGCAUGAACAGUGUCUGCAGAACAGCAGUAGUUACUGAUGUAUCGAAGCCACAAAGGCAGCAUACUGUAAAUAAGUAAUAUGACUUUAUAAUACUUCUGAAAAGCAAAAACAUCCCUCUUGCUAUAAACAUUAUUUUGUUGCUGAUUUGGCUUUGGUUGGUGUUCAAACUCAAAUAGCUCACAAUCUUAAAUAUGACUCCAAUACCAUUGAGUUAAAAAGCAUUUGAUUUCUAUAAACAGAUUUCAAAUAUAACUAAGGUUCCAUUUGGAAUUGUGUUUCGGAGGCCAAAACACUGAUUUAAAACUGUUUUUCAAAAAAACACCCUUUUAGAUUCUGUUGAAAAACAGUUUAAAAAAGUUACUUUGCUGUUUUGAAAUUCUUAUAACUAAAAUAUAUCAAAUUUAAAUUAAUUGAGAUAAUAAUUUUCUUAACAGCAGAUCCACCAACAAUGACAAGACCCUAAUACUCAAUGGUUGCUAACCAUAAAUAGUUUUUAAAUGGGAAUUGAAUAUCAACAAUUAUGCAUCGCCUCCCCAUCUAAACAUAGAAGGUCAUAACACUGACAUCUGAAAGUAGAUAAUUGUCAUCUACCUGAUAAUUUGAAUCUCCUACCAUCAACCAUUUCUGGAGUUGAACAUUAUCGUCCAAAAUAGCAGGUUGAUUUUACAGUAGAUAAAAUAAACCAGUAGAAACCAUAUCCCAUUUGGCCAAAACAGCAUUUAAAAAAAAUUGAAGAGGGAAACUUUCCCAAAUAAUGAAACAAAUCUCAAUUACUUACAAGUAUCAUUUCCUCAAUUUCAGACUUAAAAAAGAGCAAACAUCCCGAACUUCCACAUAAUUCAAGAAACCCACCUGGGAAUCGAUCCAAAGAUGAAAAUUACGCACAUAUAUCAAGAAACAACAUACCCAAAAGAGAGCAGAGCUUGCUGA
rnacentral:misc_RNA from 1 species